UCAGUUUCACGAAACGCUGCUGCCCUUCGAUUUAUUUCUGCAGAAUCAGUCGACGUAAUAAGUCGAUCUUAUCUUCCUAAAUAUAUAAAAAAAAAUCUCUUUGAACUUUUGUCCCAGCAAGAUCAGUAAUCAGUAAGAAAACAACAAAUAGAGAGGACCAACUUCUUCGUGUUCCAAAGGAAAAAUUGAGAGGCAUAUAUUCCAGGUAUUGAACCUUGGAGUUUUGUACCGAAACUUAGAGAGAAGCAAUGUUAAGUUUAACGGGAUACCCGCAUUAUGUAAGAAGUCUCAAGUGAUGUCAAAAAGAUGUGGUCAACUUUGGCUCACCAGGAAAUGCUUAUAAUGUGUUGGGGAAUUGAUCACCACAACUACAAAAUUGGAGAUAAAUCUUGGUGUUCCUCACAUAGCUUCUAAGGAGCUUGAGCCAAUUAUGGAUCUUGGAAAGAAGGACCAUUCAUGUCGAAGAAAUUUGACCAAUUAAUAUGCAAAGGAUGCGGCAAAAUCAACAAUACUUGGACUGCAAGGUGCUUGCAGCAAAAUCUGGAUGACUAUAUGAUAAUGUGACUUAGGUUGAGACAAUAUGGGUGGCCAAAAAUUUGAAAUUUAAUACUUUAGUCGGAUUUGAGUCUGCACAUGUUGUGACUGUGUGACAUAAAUUUUGUCAAGCGCUCUCCUUUUUUUUCUUCUAACUUCGACCGCACUUUUGAUAGUAAAUUAAAGUAGCUACAUGGAGUCGUUUUUGGAUCAUAU